rnacentral:lncRNA from 1 species
GAAGUAGAGAAGCAUGGUGUCAUAACCCUGUAGCCUGGGCAGUCAGGAGUCCAAGUCAGGAGGACUCAUGAGAGGUAUUUAAGACAGGAAUGGAUUCAAUAUGAGGUAUUCAUUCUCCAGCAACACUGAGGAGAGGUUGCAGUCUGAGGCUUGGUGAGAGCUCUUGGAGACAGGAUCAGCCCAUUCAGCCUGAAGUAGAGCACCUUAAAAGAAAAACAAAUGAACCAGAUUAACGUGCCAUUGUGGAACGAUGCAUUUGCUAAUGCCCACCAGAUGAAGCCUAAAUGGACACCAUUUCUGAGGAAGACAAGCUUCAGCAAGCUAAAAUCCAUGAGAAAACAGGGUCUCACUGUAUAGCUCUGGCUCAACUGGAACUCAUUCUGUAGACCACGAUAGCCUCAAAGACACGGGGAUCCUGCCUUUAGGGUACUGUGAUUAAAAGUCUG